AAAUUUAAAAUUAUUUAAUUUAUUUGUUUUUAUAUAUUUUUAUUAAUUAAAAUAAUAUUAUAAAUUUAAUUGUUUUAGUAUUUUUUAAAGAAAAAAUUUUUUUAAUUAUAGUUAAUUAGGUAUUGUGAAAGAUUUUUGAAAAAAAUUGAAAAUUAAUUUGAUAAAAAGUAAGAUUUAUUUUUUGUACCUUGUGCAUCAGGGUUUAUUAAAUAAAAAUUAUUUAAUAUAUUUUUCUCGAAAUUAAAAGAUCUAUAUAAUUAUUAUUUUUAUUGUAACAAAAAUAUUUUAAAUAAUUAUAUUGAAAUGAAACGUUAUCCGUUUUUAAUGAUAUCUAGUUUUUUAAUAAAUGAAUUUAAUUCAGAUAUUAUAUUUAUUAUAAAUUUUUAUUAAAAAUUUAAUAAUUUAAUAUUAAUAUUUUAGGGGAUAAGCUUUAAAAUUUAAAUUUAUAAAUAAAUAGAUUAUUUAAAAUUUAUAGUCUUAGAAAUAGAUUUUAUUUAAAAAAUGUUAUAAUUUGUUUUAUUUUUUUUAUGAUUUUUUAUUAUUUUAAUUAUUUAUUAAAAUAUUUUAUUUAAUUAUUUAUUAAAUUUAAUAAUGAUAAAAUUAGUAAAUAAUAUUUUGUUAAUUUAAUAAAAUUUUAAUAUGAAAGGUUAAAUUAAGGAAUUCGGCAAAAUUUUAUACUCGCCUGUUUAACAAAAACAUGUCUUUUUGAAAUUAAUUUAAAGUCUAAUCUGCUCAAUGAAAAUUUUAAAUGGCCGCAGUAUCUUGACUGUGCAAAGGUAGCAUAAUAAUUUGUCUUUUAAUUAAAGGCUGGAAUGAAUGAUUGAACGAAGUAUAAUCUGUCUCUAUUUAAUUAGUUAUUGAAUUUAAUUUUUAAGUUAAAAAGCUUAAAUUUUUUUAGAGGACGAGAAGACCCUAUAGAGUUUUAUAUUAUUUUAUGUAUUUUAAAUUAAUUAUAUUUUAAUAUUUUUAAUAAUAUUUUAUUGGGGCGAUAAAAAAAUUUAAAAAACUUUUUUAUAAAAUUUUUACAUUUAUGUAUGAUUUAUUGAUCCUGUAUUUUAGAUUAUUAGAUAAAAUUACCUUAGGGAUAACAGCGUUAUUUUUUUUAGAGUUCUUAUCGAUAAGAAAGAUUGCGACCUCGAUGUUGGAUUAAAAUUAAUUUUAGGUGUAGAAGCUUAAGUUUUAGGUCUGUUCGACCUUUGAAAUUUUACAUGAUCUGAGUUCAAACCGGUGUAAGCCAGGUUGGUUUCUAUCCUUAAAUAAAUAAAAAUUUUUAGUACGAAAGGACCAUAAUUUUAAAAAAUUUUUUUAAUAAUUGAAUAUUAAUAAAUUUUGAUUACUAUUUUAACAAUUUAAUGUAAUAAUUU
rnacentral:rRNA from 1 species